rnacentral:rRNA from 1 species
UUGACGGGGGCCCGCACAAGCGGUGGAGCAUGUGGUUAAUUCGAAGCAACGCGAAGAACCUUACCAGGUCUUGACAUCCCCUGACAACCCGAGAGAUCGGGCGUUCCCCCUUCGGGGGACAGGGUGACAGGUGGUGCAUGGUUGUCGUCAGCUCGUGUCGUGAGAUGUUGGGUUAAGUCCCGCAACGAGCGCAACCCUCGACCUUAGUUGCCAGCAUUCAGUUGGGCACUCUAAGGUGACUGCCGGCUAAAAGUCGGAGGAAGGUGGGGAUGACGUCAAAUCAUCAUGCCCCUUAUGACCUGGGCUACACACGUGCUACAAUGGGCGGUACAAAGGGUCGCGAACCCGCGAGGGGGAGCCAAUCCCAAAAAGCCGCUCUCAGUUCGGAUUGCAGGCUGCAACUCGCCUGCAUGAAGCCGGAAUCGCUAGUAAUCGCGGAUCAGCAUGCCGCGGUCGAAUACGUUCCGGCCUU